rnacentral:rRNA from 1 species
AACGAACGCUGGCGGCAGGCCUAACACAUGCAAGUCGAGCGGACCCUUCGGGGUUAGCGGCGGACGGGUGAGUAACGCGUGGGAAUAUGCCCUUCUCUACGGAAUAGUCCUGGGAAACUGGGGGUAAUACCGUAUACGCCCUUUGGGGGAAAGAUUUAUCGGGGAAGGAUUAGCCCGCGUUGGAUUAGGUAGUUGGUGGGGUAAUGGCCUACCAAGCCGACGAUCCAUAGCUGGUUUGAGAGGAUGAUCAGCCACACUGGGACUGAGACACGCCCAGACUCCUACGGGAGGCAGCAGUGGGGAAUCUUAGACAAUGGGGGCAACCCUGAUCUAGCCAUGCCGCGUGAGUGAUGAAGGCCUUAGGGUUGUAAAGCUCUUUCAGCUGGGAAGAUAAUGACGGUACCAGCAGAAGAAGCCCCGGCUAACUCCGUG